rnacentral:rRNA from 1 species
UACGGAAGGGGCAAGCGUUGUUCGGAAUCAUUGGGCGUAAAGGGCGCGUAGGUGGUUCUGUAUGUCUACCGUGAAAGCGUACGGCUCAACCGUAUUUUGUCGGUAGAAACUGCAGGACUUGAGGCUGGGAGGGGCUGGUGGAAUUCCCUGUGUAGCGGUGAAAUGCGUAGAGAUGGGGGAGAACACUCGUGGCGAAGGCGGCCAGCUAGAACAGUUCUGACACUGAGGCGCGACAGCGUGGGGAGCAAACAGG